AAAUACUGCUCCAUACAAAAAUCAAUGAGAUGUGGCAUAAUUUAUAUCAAUAUAUAAAGCUAAUUGCUGCAGAAAACAUCUGUUACGGAAACCUCUAUGCCAUACUAGAAGUCAGAAUGUAGGAACUAAGGAGAGAGGUUGGUUUCGUUACACAUAUGUCGUAGCUCAGGCAGGUUCUGAAUUGCGUUAAUACGAUUCCCUAGUGAAGAUAUAUCUCACUUCUCAGCCCCUCGGUGUUUAAUCAAGUGACUAAGCUGUGCUUUUCUUGCUUCUAAAGUUUUCCUUCAGUAAUGCAAAUUUUUUCUUGCAUUGGUUUACGGUCUUCCCAGGAACAGCGGUGGCUACUCGUUCCCAACGCUGACUGGUUUCCUUUGGGAAUGUCUUCAGAGCCUGAAUCAGUGCUCUUUCUUGUACAGCAGACCAUACAUCUUGUUCCGAACUUGAUGAAACACCAUUGCCAGAAACCACAUCGACAGGACUACUUCCAGUUUUACCCGAGUCCUCAGGGCUACUUGUCUUCGCAGUUGUGUUUUCAGUCCUUGAAGGCAUAGAAACUACUCCUACUUCCUCCCUAGUGGAAAGUGGAGAUGCAAUAGUUGCCGCCGGUUUCCUCUUCUCGAGAAAAGAGUCAAAUGCUUUGGUAGCAUCAGGCUUCUGGAGGAGUACUGUUUUGGUAGCUUUUAGAAUCUCUUCCACAGACCGACCCGUUCCAAUGUACUCUGAAAUAACCUCCCACCUACGAGAUGUCCCAUUCGGAUAUUUCUGGGUUCCUUUUCUCAAAAGCUCAAUCUCUUCCUUGGUCCAAGGUUUCUCCUUCUUCUCAAAGCUGCUAAUCGAGAGGAUACUUCCAUUUGAAUCCACAGAACCAUUCAGAUGUGAACCAUUCGUUUCAUCAAUUUUUUUCCCUUCAGUGUUGCUAUUGUAUCCACGGGCAUCUUGGAUAAGUUUAGCCCGCUCUAAUGCUUCUUUGUUAUCCAUCUUAUCACAUAAACUUCUAAGCUGCUCAAUGCCAAGGGUCAUACAUAAACUUUCUACAUCCUCCUCAGAAAGAUCAUGUAAAUGUUGCAAUAAAACAGGUGCAGAAAGUGUUCGAAGUCGAGUUCGCUCUUUCCGGAGGAGCUUCUUCUCUUUCUCCUUAUUUUUCUUAUGCUGUAAAGCAGCUUCGGCAGCUCGUUUAUCCUCCUCCUCUUUCCGGCGUCUCUCCUCUUCAGCAGCCCUAGCAGCUUCUUCCUCCUGCAACUGCUUUGCACGAACCUUGGCUUCUUUUUUCCUCUGUUUCUCAGCUUUCUCCUCUUCCUUCCUCCUAAGUAUUCUUGGGUCUCUUUUAUAUGCAUUAUCAACAAGUGCACGAAUCCGAGCAUAUUCCUCCUUCCUAGCCUUCUCAGAAAGUUUUGCAUUCUGCCUCUCCAUCCACCUUUUAUGGUCCCGAGACUCAGCUUGUUCGAGGUCAUACUCAUCCGCAUGUGGGAAUUCCCUCCAGCUUUUGAAACUAUACCAAAAAUUAUAGAAAUUGUCUACAUCUUUUAGCGGAGUACUGUCAUCUCCUAAAGACGGGAUAGGCUGGGUCACCGACCAUCGCCCAUUCCUCAUGAAAGCUGGACCAAACACCUUGAAGAAGUCUUGUGGGGCACAUUCGGUAGGAAUUUCAUCAUCAAACUCAUCAGUGGAGUCAUAGAUUCUUCUCCUUACAGGAUCGAUCAAAAUCUCAUAUGCUUCUUGGAUGGACUUGAAGUGAUUCUCAAUUUCAUCCUUCUUAGCUUGUUUUGCAGCCUCCGUCUCCUCUGCAAGAAGAAGAUUCGCAAGUUUGUCAGGAUGAUGUCUCAAGGCAGCUUCACGGUAACUUUUCCUUAUCUGAUCCUCAGUGGCAAGAUAUCUUAAAUGGCUCAACCCAAGCAAUGCAUAGUGAUCUUGCUGCUUGCCAUCAGCACCAGAUUUCUUUUUCCCUUUGUUGCUAUACGAAUCAGAUGAUGGCAUAUACGCUUGCUCCUUAUCAUUACCGACUUUCUGAUCAUCAACUUCAGUAGUAUCAUCUUCCUCACAGCCAAAGAGUUUAAGAGCAGCAUUAUGAAAGGCAUGGCCAGCCGGUUCAUAUUUUAAAGCCUUAACAGGAAGGCAAUUUGAAGAAACAUAGAGUGGCUGUCCGUCCACAAGCUCCUGAGAAUACGAUAUAAGCUGAAUGCUUGUGCGGACCGCCAUAAUGUUUAUGGUGGAUACACAAACCACAAAAGGACAAUAAAUGCCAAAACCAAUAUCUGGGAAUAGCUUUUGCUAGUUUGACAAUCUGCAAAAAGUCGCAAUCAGCUCAGCUUGUGUUAAUACGUUCAAAACAGAUAUAUAAUGAUGCAACCAAAAGAUUAUUUCACGAUAUCGGCUCGGUGAGCAGGAACCAUUCGGUUAGCUUAGCCCUACAGUACCAGACUGCUCGAUCGGAGCUAACAAAUGUACGAUUAAAGAAACAGAAAGACCAGAAAGAAAACAUAAAUUAUCUCUUCAUCCACAACCCCCAACCACAAUCAUUCCUAAAAUAAAAAUCAUUACUUGAAACCUCCGUUACCCGGACUCGGCAGUUAGGGGUGCCGUACCGGUAUCGACACGGAUUCCGACACUGGACACGGAUCAGAUCCCGCGAAAUCGACGGACGCGGCGGUGGGAGAACUGAGAAGAAAAAACGAUGACAGGAAAGAUAAAAAGGAGGAGGAUACACGGCUGCGGCGAUAGUAGAGAUCUGAUAAAAGCCCCUAACGGCAGUCGGUCGGCAACAACAGAGAAGAAGAUAACAUGUACUCGUAACUUUUACAGUUUUAGUUCCUAGGGUUUUAUUGUUAAUGAUGGGGUUUUAUGGUUACCUUGGAUUAACGGGCGAGGAGGCAAUGAAUGUUAUUGGUGACGCAGUUUCCUUUGAUCCGAAACUCGGGAAUUACAUAUGUGCAUGUGUAUAUAUAUAAUGUAAGUAAAAGGGUAAAUGCGUCGGCUUUCGGCCGAGUAUGGAAGAUAAGCACGGCACGCAACUGAGACACUUGGGUUAGCCCAAAUCUUAAGCCUAAUUACUCAAAAUAGGGGCGCAUUUUAUUUUAUUUUAUUUUUCACUUAAAAGAUAAACUCGAACAAAAUUUAUUAGUUAGGAUUAGAUAUGAUUAUGGGUUAGGUCUGAUCGGGUUUAAGUCAAAUCGAUAUAAAUUUUUAAGUUUAUUUUUUAGGUUUAGAUCUGGUUGGAUUUAAAAAAUGAGCUUAAAAUUUUGUUUAAACUUGACUCAAAUUGACAAUGCUAUCCUCGAGUUCGGCUGGUUCGCCCGUAUUAAAUUUUUAUAUUAUUUUUAAUAUAAAAACAAGUUUAAAAAAUAUAAUACAUCAAAUGUACUAAAAAUAUUAAAAUAAAUAUUUUCAACAAAUUGAAAAUACAUUAAAAAAUUAUACUUAAAUAACAAUAAGAUAGUUGCAACUUAGCAAGCAAAUGUCUCUAAAAUAAUAGCAAAAUUAAGGGUCCGUUUGAUUGCUAGUAAAAUGUUUUCCGUAAAAUGAUUUCUGGAAAAUGUUUUACUUUUCUGUAAAAUAAUUUACUGGAAAAUAUUUUCUAGUGUUUGAUUGAAUCUGUGUAAAAUAUUUUCUGCUGUUUGACAGAUUUCCUGAAAAUAUUUUCCGGAAAAGUUAUUUUUUACAUAUAUUAAUAAAUUUUUAUAUUUUAAAUUGCUUUUACAUAUAUUGCAAUGAUUUAUUUAUAAUAAUACUCAAUUAUUAAGCUACAAUAUUGAUUGUUAAAAAUUGAAAAAAUAUUAUCCACAAUGAGUACUAGUAAUAAUAUUGAAUAAUUAUAAAUUGCUUCGAAACCACAAUGAGUACUAGAAAUAAUUUAUCCAAAUACAUACUUAGUAGUAUACCACAUAGUAACAGCAUUGUCCAAGUGUAUAAUAUUACACCACAUAAAUGUAUCAAUAUCUUUAACCCUGAGAAAAUUUUUGAAGCCAAAUUUUUCUAUGCUUCUUACUUUUAACUAAAAAAACUUUGGUUGUAUCUUUAAUUAAAUUAUAGAGACCAAUUUGAUAUAGAUUCUAGUUUGAGAAUAUACUAAUCAGAUUUUUCGUAAAAGAUUUUGAUAUCGAUUACUUGUAAAUAAAGAAAAACGAAUAAAUUCACAAAAAAAGAUAAAGAAAAACGAAUAAUCCAUAUUUCAUUAUGUUGUAUCUUUAAUUAAAUUAUUAUCCAUAAAGUUGGUAAAAAAUAAUUUUUUAGUAUUGUUCGUGCAUUAGUCGGUGUGAAAUGUUUUAGUCAGUGUACACUAUACGAAUCAAAAUUAAAAUCGGUGUAAGAAAAAAUUUUAGUUAUUCUAAUUUAUUAUUCAAACGGCAUCCACCAAGAAAUGCAACCAAAACCAAUGUACAACCUACUACAUUAAAACAGAAACUGUGCCAUUUGCUUAACCCACAAUCUUUCCACAACCAUAUCAUGAAGCAGUUUUACACUCAAAGUGUUUGCACAACUAUUUAAAACCAUCCACAUGCUAUGAAUUUGUUCUUGUUAGCUCUACCCCAUUCUCUUUUAGCAUCAUUGGAAUAAUAUCUCUUAAUUGGGAUAAUAUCAACAAUGCAGCACCGCCAUAUACGAAACUGAAACCUUGAUAAAUGAAAUGAAAUAUUGAACUGAAAUUGCAUUAUGCUCAAUUAUGACUAUUUUCUAUAUAAGAGCGUGUUAAAAGCUAUGCCUCCAAAUGAGGCUCUACGGCACAAAUGCAAGUUUCAUUUACCAGCUUUUCUUUCACUUCUCACAACCAGUCAAAGAUCCUCACCUUGGCCUGCUUUGGGAGGGAAGGCUUGAAAGAUAUGAAAUGGCAGCAGAAGGUAAGACAGAUACUUAAAAACAUGAACCACAAAUUCCUAUAUAUGUAGCUGUGAAACAAAUAUUCAACUACUCUGGAGAACAAAGGUAAAGCAGAUACUUAAAAACAUGAACCACAAACCCUGCUUACGUAAUGCUAGACUUAAAGCAUAACAAGAAUCAUUUACCAGCUUUUCUUUCACUUUUCACAACCAGUCAAAGAUCCUCACCUUGGCCUGCUUUGGGAGGGAAGGCUUGAAAGAUAUGAAAUGGCUGCAGAAGGUAAAACAUAUACUUAAAACAGAAUCACUUAAACCAAAAAAAAAAAAAAAAAGAAAAUGAAGAAGCUAAUUUCUUGUUCUUCAACAUCAAAUGUUGUAAUUCUUUGAACAUAUUAUUAUCAGAUGCAUAUACAUAUAUACAAAUCUGAGUACGAGUAACAUAAUAUGGAUACGAUGAAGCAUUGCACGAAAUAGAACGUGCAAAACAGAAUAAUAAAACAAAAUCGAAGUAGAAAUCAUUUUCUGAACGAAACUUAAAUUUGCAUUUCUUUUUUCAUAUAAUUCUAGAAUUUUCCUAUCAACCAAACAGAGACUUAAAAAGAAUCCAUUAUAAUAAAAUACUCUUUAAGAAUUGCAUGAACAGUUAGUAAACGAGAUAGUGACAAACAAACAGAAAAAACACAGAAUUUCGAUCAAAAACCGAAAAUUAAAAGAAAAAAAACACUUUGAUAAAAACAGCGAAACAAGCUUCGAUCUGCUAAAAAAUACACUUAAAAUCAAACAAAAAAAGCACGCACAGAUCAGUGAGAGCAGAGGUGACAUUUAACAUAAACAGGGGCCAAAAUCUUUCUAACUAUGGACAAGAAACCGAUUCACAAAACUAUGGAGAAGAAAAUAUAACUUUCUAAAGCAAGUCUGUGAAGAAAGUCUGCCCAAGACAAGCCAAACAGCACAGCCAAACUAGCAGAAAACCCAAGCAAGAUCUCAGACAAAAACAAGCAGAAAAUCCCCAAAUCAAUUUAUAAAAAGAAGAAAUCAAGGGGGAAAAGGAGCCAGAAACCAAAUCAAGGGAGAACGAAAGGGAGAAGGGAGAACGAACGGGAGAACAAAACCAGGUCGGUGUAGGGAGGAGAAGGGAGAACAAGAGUGUAGAGAAGGGAGAACGCUGGAAAAAUCGGAAAAUGUCUUACUGAUUCCAAAUCGGUAAGACAUUUUCCAAAAUUAAAGGCUUCUUUUUCCCGUGUUUGUAAUUGAUUUUAUGUGAGGAAAAUAUUUUCCUCCAAUCAAACACUGGAAAAUGGGGAAAAUCAAUUCCGAAAAAUAUUUUCCCCCUAUCAAACAGACCCUAAGAAUAAAACAAAAGUUAUGUAAUAUCCAAACAAAAAAAAUAGUAACAAUAUAAUAGUAAAAUAAUAGUAAAAUAACAAUAAAAAAAGUUUAAGCUCAUUUAGACCUUGGCAGAAAAAAUCUACUUGAGACCUAACAUCUUUAGAAAAUGAAUCUUUUUUUUGUCCAAAUCCAUUCUUGAUUUUAUAUUUUUAUUCAAACCCCCACACUUUUCAAGCGGACUUUUAAGCCUGAGUGAGUGACUCGACCCAUGAUCAGGUCUAGUUGAGACCGAUUUCAUAUUUAAAGAGAAUCAGUAAAAAUGUCUUUCUAGUCCCUCUUAAUUUUGAUAUUAAGUAAAUUGAUCUCUCUUAAAAAAUUAGAGCAAUUUAGUGCUUACUAAUUUCAAAAGUGAACAACUAAAGACAAUUAAUUACGGUGUUAACAUUCUCAUCAGUUAUAUAUAAUUUUGAUUGAUAUAAUAGCAAAUUUAACUCUCAAUGUUUAUGUAUUUUGUGUUACUGUUGAUGGAAUGUCUAAAUGUUUCAAGCCAAAAUUUUAAAUAAAUAUGUAAAUUUUAAAAAUUAAAUUUAUUAUUAUUCCAAUAAAAAUAUUUAUAUUUGAUGAAAAAUAUUAAUAUUAUAAUUAAUUGUCCUUACUUACUCAUUUUCGAAAUUAAUUGAAAUUAAUUUUUUGAAAGGAUCAAUUUACUCAACAGCAUUUCUAAUUUAGUUUGGUUAAUUUAUUUAAAACUACUUAAAUAUAAAAUUUAAUUCAGUUUAAAUAAUUGUGAUGAGGCAGGGAAGAACAUUCACCCUAAAACAUGAUGAAAUUAUAAGUUAGCCUUUCAAAAUAAUUUUUAAAUAAAUAAGUUAAUUAUAAAAUUAUCUUUUUUAACUUAUAUUUUAAAAAAUUAAAUUAAAAUCUUAUCAUUUUAGAAGUUAAAAAAGUAUAAUUUUACUAGCCUGCUGCCGUUUAUAUCUUCAAGUUUAAAAUUUUAGGUGGUCCUGUCACAUCAUUUGAUUGAUUAACAACUGGACUAAUGAGAUAGAGAAAAAUGAAUGCAUGAGAGCCAAAGUAAUCAAGAAAAAUAUUGAGGUACCAAAUUCAAAAUUUAUGCAUAAUACAAGAAUCAAAAUAGGUAUUAAGCCUUUAAUAUAUGGAUUAAUUCAAUCAAAUAUAUUUCAAACUACAAUCAAAAUUUUAAAUUUUAAUUGAAUUAUUAAAAUAUCAAUAUUAAAUCAAUCAAGUUCUUCCAUCAACCUAACCUAACCUAACCUAACCAUUAGUUUGAGUGUUACAUGAUAAUUCAAAUAUAACAUGAAGCAUAAUUAAAACACAUUAAUCAUAUUAUAAAUAGGCUCAAAACAAAUAAUCUCCUAAUUUUAACGAUUUUUUGAACAUGUUUAAUUAUAUAUGUGCUUACAAUUUGAUUAUGUAAAUUUUACACAAUUUAAAUUGACAUUUAACGUCUAAAUUGACAAAAAAAACCAAUAUAAUAUUAAUGUUAAUAAUUAGCUAAACUUUAUGCUAUCUAAACUCUAAACUAGUGAUAUUUUUGAGUGAUAAUUAUAUCCAAUUUAUUAAUCAACAGUAGUAAAGCUCAAUCAACAUAAGAAUUCAACCCUAAUUAUAAUAUUAUUCACAACACAAAAUAUUUAUUGAUAAAAAAUAUAUAUAUAAUGUUAACACAGUAUACAAGAAUUAUCCACCCACCAUUCUUGUUGAAACUUAAAUAUAAUGGUUGUAACCUGUCUACAGAAAAAUGCAUAUAUAGACAAAUAUGGUAUCAGAGCUUUUGAGUUCAAAUUUUAGCAACUGCUUUUAUCUUUUGUAUUUUCUUCAUUCAAUGUCUUAUUGUAACCAUAUUGCUCUAAACCUGAAAUACAAAAAGAGACCCUAACCUAAAAUCGAAAGUCUAACCCGUUACGUUAAAAGGGAAGGUUACCUCAUUUAUUGUUGUAAUCCCACAAGUUCGUAGCUCUGCAAACUUCCUUUUGGGAUUGAGAAUGUUGUUUGCUUCGUCGGUAAUGACUUAUUUUCGCCAUCGUCUGAUGUAAUCUCGAGGCCACAUGCAUGGCAAAGGGAUUCCACAUCCAAUUCCUAUAAAAACAAUUCCACAUCCAAAUCAAAGUACAUUCAUGUACAAUGCUAAAAUAAAGGAUCUAUGUUAUUCCAACUCUUCUUUUAUUUUGAAGAAUUCGUGUUCACGUAUCUGAAAACUUAGAAAAAAUUGAACAUGCUGAUAUCUGACACUCGUAUUUGAAUCCAAGUAACAUAAUAAAAAAUCUCAAGUGUAGGAAAUAAUACCUUCAUCAUCAAAAGUUUGGACAAUUGUUCCAAAGGAUAAGGAUGAAGCUUGUAGCAACAAUUAUUUAUAUAGGAAAUUGCCAGUGCUCGAACCUGUAAAAAUAUUUGAAAGUGGAAAUGAAAAUUAAAGGGCAAAACACGUACAACAAAUACAAGGAACUUAUCUAUGUUACUUGAACCUGGGUAUAAAUAUUAGACAUAGAUAUGUAUCGGCACAAGCAUUCUCAAAAUUUUUCAUGUAUUUAAAAGGUCCAUGAAAGAUCAUAUCUCAAUACCAAAGACUUGCUAACAUUUAUUAGGAAUUUUUGUAAGAUUUAAAAUUUGAAGGAUAUUAAAAAAAUUGAAGAAUAUUUAACCUAUUUCCAAAUUAUCUUUAAGCUUAAAAAAUGAAAAAUUAUCAUAAAAACAAUCUUACAAUUCCACAAAAAAAUCAUUCUAUUUUGAUUUAGUAUAUGUGAAAAUACUUUUCUAGCAAUUUUUUCGUAUAGUUUACACAUAAAUUGACUAUAACAGAAUUUGUAUAUGCCAACUUUCAUAUCUGGCUUUUUUUUCCUUUGUUUAUUGAAGUACUCAUGUCCAACAUUCGUGUCCGAUAUAUAUCAGGAUAUAGGUAUGGGAUAUCCUCCAAGGACUCAAAUACAUGAAAAGAAAUUUAGGGAAAAGAAAAUGAGCAAACCAAUGUCACACACACUCGAAUCCUGUUAACAUAAGUUUUUAACAUUAUGUCCACAAAGCAUUGUACCACUAUACUCAAUACUAUGGUUGAAAACUAUGUGCAACAAAUCAAAAAAGAAAAUGCCAAAAAAGAGAAAGGUUAUGCAACAAAUGAUGUGGUAGAUUACCUCGUUCACAUGAGGCUCUAUAAUACAGUACUGUAAAUAUGAUGACUCAGUCGAUACGGUACAGAGAAAACGCUUAUAAUUUCCCAUUCGAUAAAAUCUGUAGAGAAAUAAAGAGAUAUCUUAGUUCCCUUCCGAUUUGAGAUUAAUUUCUGAGAAAAUAAUUAAGAAAUUGCAGCAGUAGGCAUUGAGAAACUUCAAGGUUACCUUAGAACUUGCCGGGCAAAAUGCAUUUCUUUAGACUUCAUUACGGGAGAAGGUACAUUGCGAAACCAAUAUGACAACGACUCCUCCUGCAAAUCCGAAGCAGUAGUUCAGAACCAAUAAGGAUGAAAUUAUGGAUGGAGUACAUAGUCAUGAAAACAGUGAAAUACAGAUAUCACCAUUUGUUGGUUCUUUGAAUCGAGGUGAAGAAGCACGUAAAAUGAACGAAACUGCGCUUCAUUCUCGUAAACAAAGUUGUUGUUGCGAUUAGCUUCAUUCUCGUAAACAAAGUUGUUGUUGCGAUUAGCUUCAUACAAAACAUACAGAGAUGCCAAAGCCUUUGUAAGCUGCUCCAUGUUUAGAUAUUGCAAUGACGAAAUACUCGAACUGGUACAGUUUCUGAGCCUUUGGUGAGAGAUUACAUGAAAUUUUACCUGUGGGGUGAAAUAUAUAAAUAUUAUAUAUUGGAUCAAGCUUUUACCUAUGUGGUAAGAACUGAAUCAGAGGUUGAACUGGUUGGACCUCCAAUCCCAGUUCAAUUGGUUGACCCGGGCAAUUCAACCUCUUAGAAAAAGAAUAAAUUAAUCAUUAAAUUUUUUUUAAAUUAAGAAAACUAUAUUUUCAAAAUUCAAAGAUAAACAAUGAACCAAAACACAAUGAAAAAAUCCAAAUCUUUUUGUUAAAAGAUAAAAAAAAAAAUAAAGGAAAAACAAAAAAUCUGGUUUUUUCUAUUCCCAAUUUCCAACUUUUUACUGUUUCAACUUUGUUUUGGCUAAUUCCAGUUAUUUCUCACUGAUUGGACCUUUGAUUCCCGGUUCAACCAACUGGUCUGGCUCAAUUCUGACAACACUGGAUUUUGUUCUAUCUAAGCAAGACUAUUCAAGCUACUCUGCCACAAUACAACCAGAUAUGUUACUCGGAUUUGGACGUAAGCAUUGGAUACAGGCAUGUGUCCCCCACAAGUUCGCUCAAUUGGUUUAAAAUUUUUUCAUGCAUGUGACGAUAUCCCUGUGGAGUCAAAAUCCCACACUCAUGUCCAAAUAUAUGUCAAAUACAAAUAUCAAACAUUGAUACUUCAAGUUAAAUGAAGGGCCAGAGCAACAUAACCAACCGAAACCUACAAUGAUAAAUGAGUUAAAAACACAGUAUCCACCAGAAAGAUACCAUCAUCAAUAAGAUGAAGGAUGUAAGCUUUUUUAAGGUUUAGAAUGCAAUGCAAGUGAGUAGAAUGAAGUAUCAUCAAUAGGCAUAAUUCUGACAUAGAAUCAGGAGAAGAGUAAAUCAAGCAAUACAACAGUUGCUCCAACUCUUCAUUUUUCUUUAAGUUUCUAUGCUUGACACUCAACUCAUAUCUUGACGUGUGAUGAGGAUAUAAUCCUCCAAGGACUCUCAAAAUAUAUGAAUAUCUUGAAAAUUUGAACAUAUCUGUGUCCACCACUCACAAUCAACUUCGAGUAACAUAGGUGCAACUCAUGAUUAUGUUGUUCAGACUAUUCACCUUUCUGUAAGUAUAUGUGUUUGACACUUGUGUCUAAAAUUUGGAUAUAGGUAUGAAAAUGAAAAUACCCAUGUUAGAAACAUUUGUAUCCAACACUUUCACUUGAGUUUGAGUAACAUAGGCUCUUGAUACAACAAAUAUAAAGGUCUAAACAAAAGGCAAAUGUUUAUGGCAAGCAAAUCAUUCCCUCCAAAUAUAAGAAAAUCUUCAAAGAAAAACUUAAUAUACCCAUGUUAGACAAACACACUCCUUAUUCAACACUCUCAUUUGAUUCCAAAUAAUAAAAGGCAUAUGUUCCUGGGCAAGAAUAUCGUACCAUUUUCUCGUACAUGCAAAUUGCUCUAUCAUUGACAAUAUGCUGCAUGCUAAGAUCCUGCCUUAUUGAUCGAGUCCUAUCGAAAAUGAAGUCAUGAACCACUUCGAAAGGAUGUUCACUCGAGUCCAGCAGGUUUAAAAGGUAGUUUAAUGUAUCUUCUAAUACUGCAAGAGGGCGCACAUCCGAUGCUUGGACAUGCUUUACUGAUAUGGUUCUGCAAAACUAGCAAAAGUAAAGGAUUAUCAACAGCCUUCAACAUUCGAUAAAAUGCAUUUAAAUAAUAGAUAUUGUCAUAUUUAAGCAACGGGAUUAAGCAUACAGAUUAACUUCCUUAUUUAUUAAACAUUGCUUUCCACGUGAUUGUGAUUAAUCUAAUAAAGUAGUAGUAGCAUGGUUAUUUUACUCCAACUCUUCAUUUUUAUUUAAGUAUCAAUACAUAAAACUCAGAUUCGACACAUAUCUGGAAAUGGGUAUGGGGAUAUGAUCCUUUAAGGACUCUCUACAUCUGACACUCAAAACAGAGUCCAAGUAACACAGAAUAAAAGUGCACAAGACUCCUAAAUUCUUGGUCGGGGGAUUUAACUGUGAUGUUCAAAUCAUUGGAUAGACCAUGUCUGAAAAUGCAUUGAACACGAAUACUAUGAAAAAUAAAGAGUUAAAAAAACAUAGACACGAUCAGAAUUUUGAUAUCAUGGUAGAUAACAUGCAUGAUUCAUUUUUUAGGAUCAUAUUAAUAGCAAAUCCAUAAACAUAACAACAUAAAAGAUUGAUUAUAUUUAGAAGUACAAAAUUUAUAUAACAUAUGAAUUUGGAUAAAGAAUAUCUGAUGGUUAAUAUCUGCAUUUGCUCCUAAUUUGUUAUGGAUGAUAAUUAUGGUAUCCGAAUCAGCAAAAAAAACAGAUCAAGUAUUUGCGGAUAUCUGAAUCUACGCCAUUACAAGCUGUAAUUUUAUUAACAAUUUAUUAAAGAUGAUAAAUUUCAAUCAACCUCAAAGGCAAUGCACGAAUACCCAUUGUGAACACCUUAAUGAACUACAUAUUAAAAAGCUGUCCAAACAAAUAAAACAACAAAAAUUUUAAAUGCUUGAAAGUACAACAGCUUACCUUUUUGACAGCUAAAGAUGGAGAUGUUUUCCUGGGAUCUCCAUGUAACCUUUCGAAAACAGCUAAAUCUCGUAGGCGUUCCCGCUGAGCCCUCUCCCCAUCUGUUGUAACAAUGAAGAAAAGGUUACAAACUACAUACUUUGAUAAAUAACUAGCAUCUAAGAAGCACAGAUACUUCUCUCAACGCAGUGUACAAGUGUGGGAUACAAUUCCAACACAAUAAAAUAUGUGUCGGAAAAAUAAAAUUAAAAAUUAAAAACAAAGUCGGACACUGUUAAAACAUGAUCAUAACAUGGUUGGACGCGUACGGACAUAUUUUCGGUACUAGAGGUAUCUUGGUAGCUAGCAAUCUAGCAUAAACUAAUUGCUACUUGGUUUCGUAUUUAUGUCUGCAAAGUAAGUUGCAAUUAGAGCUUCAUGUUUCUACCAUUUUCUUCAGCUUCUAGGAACCAACGUUAAGUAACGAAAGUAACAAUCGAGCAAAUUUAUGAAAAAUCAUAAACCAACAUAAAAAAAUACGGAAAACCCAACUUUCAGAACAUUAAAACAAGACUAAAGUUGAUAACUUUUAGCUUCUAAUCACAAAUUUUGAAAUAAUUAAAUGAAUAAAUACCAGGGCACAUGAAAGGGCAAGUUCCAAUUAUAGAACCAACGUCUUCUCUUGCUUCUUGUUCUUCUUGCUGUUGAUUAAUCCCAGCAUAUGUUUCGGAUUUCCGGUUACGGAUAUGGCCGGGAUUUCUAGUAUUGUUAGGGGUAGUUGCAGUGGUAGAAUUGGAACGUGGAACGAAGUUUGAGGAUUGGGUGGUUUUGGUUGGAUUUGUAGAGAAAUUUUGAGACCGGAAACGUGUUGGGCCGGUCGAGGAAGAAGAAGAAAAGGAGGGCUGGUUUCGACGUUGUUGAAGGCGGCGGGUGCUGUCGUCCAUGGCGUCUAUUGCCCGGUUGAGCUUCGGUUUUCACCUUCGACAGCGGUGUUAAUACGGUCACAACAGAUAUAUAAUGCUAAAACGAUGCAACCAAAAGAUUAUUUCACGAUAUUGGUUCGGUGAGCAGGAACCAUUCCGUUGGCUUAGCCGUACUGUAGCAGACUGCUCGAUGUGAGCUACCAAAUGUACGAUCAAAGGAAAAAAAAAACUAGAAAGAAAAGUAAAUUAUCUCUUCAUCCAGAACCCGCAGCCACAAUCCUUCCAAAAAUAAAAAUCAUUACUUGAGACCUCCAUUACCCGAACUCGACAGUUAGGGGUGCCAUACCGGUGUCGACACGGAUCAGAUCCGGCGAAAUCGAAGGACGCGGCGGUGGGAGAACUGAGAAGAAAAAACGAUGAGGAGGAAAGGAAAAAGAAAGGAGGAGGAUACACGGCUGCAGUGGCGAUCGUAGACGAUAUCUGAUAAAGUAGCUGCUGGUGGGAAAGCCCCCAACGGAAGUCGGUCGGCAGUAACAGAGAAGGAAAUAACAUGCACUCGUGACUUUUGGACUGUUAAAAUAUAGCUAUCAUAAAACAAUAUCCAAAAUCAAUUAAAAAAUCAAAAUAUUAUGAGAAUAAUUUUCUUUAAUAUUAAUUAAAAAUUUUGGAAAAAAAAUUAAAAAAUAGGAAUUUUAAAAGUAAUAAAUAAUAUUUAUUAAAAAUUAAUUAAAUUUUUUUCAGAAAAUGAUAAAAUAUCCCUUUUAAAUUUUAAUAAAAACCAUAAAAAUAUUUUUAAUAAAUUCACAAAUAUCAUAUUCAACAAUCGUUCAAUUUUAAAGAUUGAAGACUUUUUUUUAACCAUUUUAAUAAUUUUUUUCAUGUUAUAAAUAUAAAAUUUUGAUAUUUUUUUUCAUGUGAAUCAAUUCUAAAUUUGUUAAAUAAAGAAUUAACUUUUAUGAAAUUUAAUUCAUUAAAAAAUGAGACUAAUCUUACAAUAAAAGAGUUACAAAAUAAGAAUAUACAAUAUGCUAUGUUUUUGGAUGGACGGUAAUUGAGUACAAUGAAAUCUUUUACUUCACAAUUAUAGUAAUUAAAGUUAUUGUCGCCGUUAUUUUUAAUCUUGAGUUGCUAACUUGUCGUUACUAAUCAAUAUGAUUUUUUAAACAUUGGUCACCUAAAAAACAUCUCAACGAAAUACUUUGAUUCCUAAUUAUCUGGAUACUAAACGAAAAAUUAAAAAGAAAUAGAAAAUUAACUAAAAUCAAAAUUUAAAGAAAUCAAAGUAAAAGUUUUAGAUAGAUGAUGCAUUUAGUGACAAAAAAAUUAAAUACGGUAAUUUAAGAUAAAAAGUAAACUAAAUACAUCACACCGAACCGUCCAUCUAAACCCACCAUAGGACUAAUACAAUCACAAUUUUCAAAAAGAUAGAAUAAACUUUAUCUACCAACAACAAGCUUUCAUACAUGGUGACCAACAAAAAGCUUCCACCAAAAGACACAAUCACAAAAUCAAUUGAGAACUAAGAUAAAAAAUUAAAAAAAAAAACCUACUGAUAAAUAUUUUAUUACUAAACUUUGUUUAAUUUAUUUAUUUGAUAUUUGCAAAUAUUUUUUAUAUUUUAAAAAAAACUGACCACCUUAACCCUUUUUUAUCUUCAAAAAUAUCAAACUAGGAUCCACCUUGACCCCAUACAUACAUACAUACGUGCAUACAUACAUGCAUACAUACAUGCAUACAAUAAUGGAUUAGAUGAUUUGAUACACAAAAAUAACUAAAAGAAAUAUAAUGAUCUAAAAGAAAUACAAAUAUGAUAAGAACAUAUCAAAUAUAUCAAACAAUGAUUGAAACCAUAUAGCAUUAAUUAAAACAAAAAUAGCCAUUGUUAUUGGUACCUAUGCAAAUACUGCUCCAUAAAAAAUCAAUGAGAAGUAGAAUAUUUUAUAUCAAUAUAUAAAGCUAACUGCUGUAGAAAACAUUUGUUAUGGAAACCUCUAUGGCAUAGCAGAAGUCAGAAUGUAGGAACUAAGAGAGGUUGGUUUCGUUACACAUGUUGUAGCUCACGCAGGUUCCAAGAUGUGUUAAGACGAUUCCCUCUUGAAGAUAUAUCACUUCUCGGCCCCGUCGGGGUAUUUAAUCAAGUGACUAAGCUGUGCUUUUCUUGCUUCUA
rnacentral:lncRNA from 1 species